UGCAAGUCGAGCGGUAACAGGUGUAGCAAUACAUGCUGACGAGCGGCGGACGGGUGAGUAACGCUUGGGAAUCUGCCUGAUAGUGGGGGACAACCCGGGGAAACUCGGGCUAAUACCGCAUACGCACUACGGUGGAAAGCCGGGGACCGCAAGGCCUGGCGCUAACAGAUGAGCCCAAGUCGGAUUAGCUAGUUGGUAGGGUAACGGCCUACCAAGGCGACGAUCCGUAACUGGUCUGAGAGGACGACCAGUCACACCGGAACUGAGACACGGUCCGGACUCCUACGGGAGGCAGCAGUGGGGAAUAUUGGACAAUGGGCGAAAGCCUGAUCCAGCGACGCCGCGUGGGUGAAGAAGGCCUGCGGGUUGUAAAGCCCUUUCGGUGGGGAAGAAAAGCCUCGGGCUAAUACCUCGGGGUCUUGACGUAACCCAUAGAAAAAGCACCGGCUAACUCUGUGCCAGCAGCCGCGGUAAUACAGAGGGUGCGGGCGUUAAUCGGAAUUACUGGGCGUAAAGCGCGCGUAGGCGGCUUUGCAAGUCGGGUGUGAAAUCCCCAGGCUUAACCUGGGAACUGCAUUCGAGACUGCAUUGCUAGAGUAUGGGAGAGGGAAGUGGAAUUUCCGGUGUAGCGGUGAAAUGCGUAGAUAUCGGAAGGAACAUCAGUGGCGAAAGCGACUUCCUGGACCAAUACUGACGCUCAUGUGCGAAAGCGUGGGGAGCAAACAGGAUUAGAUACCCUGGUAGUCCACGCCAUAAACGAUGAGAACUGGAUGUCGGGAGGGUCUGCCUCUCGGUGUCGUAGCUAACGCGUUAAGUUCUCCGCCUGGGGGAGUACGGCCGCAAGGUUGAAACUCAAAUGAAUUGACGGGG
rnacentral:rRNA from 1 species